rnacentral:misc_RNA from 1 species
GAUGAAGAACGUAGCGAAAUGCGAUAAGUAAUGUGAAUUGCAGAAUUCAGUGAAUCAUCGAAUCUUUGAACGCACAUUGCGCCCCCUGGAAUUCCGGGGGGCAUGCCUGUUCGAGCGUCUCAGGGACGAACCCUCGCGCGGGUGUACGCGCGGUCGUGGCUGCGGUGGCGUGCCCGAGGCGGCGGCCACCGCGCUGGAAUCCAUGGGCGGACGCCUGCCGCGUGGCCGAGCGUGAUAUGACGCAUUGGCGCUCGCACGCGGAGAGGCUGCCAGCCCUGGCCCGUCUGUCGGGCGGGGGAGAGCAAGACACGUGAACUCCUCGAAUCAGGUAGGGAUACCCGCUGAACUUAAGCAUAUCAAUAAGCGGAGA